AUGUCUGUUUCCCUCUCAGCUUUGAUCAGAAUGGGAGAUUUGUUCUAUGGCGAACAGGCUUUGGGCAGAAAAGAGGUUUCUGAUGCCGCAGAGUUGUACAAGCAAGCAGCUCUCAAGAAUGAACCACAGGGUUGGUAUAAUCUUGGCCUGCUUGUCCAAAACGGAGAGUCUCUGCCGUUCAGUGUGCUUUCUGAGCUCAAUUUGCUCCACCUUCACUUAACAGACCGACAGACGCUUCUCAGCACCCUUUACCAAAGAUGUAGAGAGACCAAUAGCACCGAUGCCUACCUCCCCUGCACACUGGCACUGUUCAGCGCACACCUGCAACCUUUACAACUACAUCAGGAUACUGCGAUAAAGCUCAUUGCCACAGUUUCAGCUGCAGUUGGAACUCUCUCUUUUGUAUUUGGACUAAUUAAAAGGAGGACAACACCACUCCACCAAACAUCUCAAUCCCAAACAUCUGCUUCCAGCCAAACCCAAGAGGAGGAAUCCUAAAGAAAACUGCUAGAUAACUCUUAUUAUUUAUACAUAAGUUUGAAUAUUCUGUUUUUCCUCCAUGCAAAGCACUUGUUUAAUCCUCAUUUUUUGUGCCAUUAAGAGAUGCAGUAUAAUUACAAAACGCAGUAUAACUUGAAAUUGAAGCACAAUCUGACAUUUAACAAUACAGCGAUGUGGAUUGCAUUUCUAUUCUGGUUAACUUAAAGGAAUAGUUCACCCAAAAAUGAAAAUCCUGUAAUUUAUUCACCAAGUUGUUCCAAACCUGUAUGUGUUUAAAAAAUUUUUAAAGAAUGCUGGUAAUAAAAAAAAAAGUAGCUGGUAGCUAUUGACUUCCAUUCUAUGGAAAAAAAAAAAACAAUAAUAAUAAUACUAUGGAAAUCAAUGGCUACCGUCAACUGCUUUUACAAAAAUUAUUUUUCGCUCAACAGAAGAUUGAGCUCAUACAGGUUUGGAACAACUUGAAGGUGAGCAAAUGAUAACAGAACUUUCCUUUUUUGGGGAACUAUGCCUUUGUUCAAAAUUUUUAAAGUAAAACAGACUUCUUUGUAAAUGAUACUUUUUCUACAAGUACUUUUAAAAAAAAGUUACAUUUUAAGAUUUUUCUUCCUCAUGUUUGUCACUUAAAGCAUCAGCAUUCAAAAAAUGACAAGUAAAAUAAAUAGUUCUUCUGAAUAAAGUCAUAUUUUAAAAUGUAAUUCCUGUUGAACUCGUUGGCUUCUUGUUUCUGACGUGUCAUUUCUUCGGAGAGUUCUGGCUGUACCACUUUGGUGUCUCAAGGCAAACUCAUUUUUCCCCCUCUUGGAGGUACGGUGUCCCAGCGGGGGCCACUCUGCCUGUGUCUAUUGAAAGAGUGCGAGGACUCCCCAGGCUUCUGCGCAGACUGAUGCAAACAGCAGGUGUGCAGCAGGCUGUGAUGUGCCCACGGCCGCACCAGGGCCCCGGGAACACACACCGCAGCUCAUGCUUAAUUAAAACAACACGAAAAACUGACUAACCCUCAGAGAGAGGGAGUGCACCACACUGUGUCAAGUGUCCAAUCGUCCUGGGGAUGGUAAUCUUACUGCGUUUGCAUUCAAAUAAUGUGAUGCUUUCUGUGAGACCCCCAUUCUGGUGCCUCGUCAUGAUUUAUGCAUUUCACUUGGGCUGACUUACAAUAUACCUAAUGCAAAGAUCUUUUAUUAAAUAGUUUUUCUAAAUUGUUCAGGGAAUAUGUUGGACUCGGCACACCGUUCAAUCAAUGUAAUAGCUAAAGAAACAAGUUUUAAAGUCCUCAAUCAUCCUGAGAAAUUGCCUCUGAGCUGUCUUUCUCCCCGGCUGGCUUUUAUGUGUAAUUGCUGAACUUUAGAUGAUGUUUAUGACUUUAAAAGGCACCAGAGGAGUGUGAGAUAUUUGGCAUUUUCCAGGAAUAGGGUACAAAAUAGGGCUUGCAAGUCUUAAAUGUAAGUCAAUGUAAGUGAAAGGAGAUGCUUAGGCUUUCAAAAAUGUUUUCCAUCUAUCCCAGGAAUUUACACUAAAUGUUAGCAUUAUUAUUAUUAUUAUUAUUAUUAUUAUUAUUAUUAUUAUUAUUAUUAUGCAUUACCAAAUGUUGCUUUGCACAGUAGUUAUGAUGAACUGAUCACUUUUUUUUUAUAUAACCAUUAACACUGGAUUAGAACCCAAUAAGAAUUUGACGGGAGGGGG
ensembl:lncRNA